GACGAACGCUGGCGGCGUGCUUAACACAUGCAAGUCGAACGGAAAGGCCCCGUUUGUGGUGCUCGAGUGGCGAACGGGUGGGUAACAAGUGAGUAACCUGCCUGUGCCUGCGGGAGAACUACAGUAAACUGGCGCUAAUACCUGAUAGGAAUGCUUUCUGCAUGGUUGGUGGUGGAAAGCAUGGGCGGUUGUGGAUGGAUGCGCGGCUUAUUAGCUUGUUGGUGGGGUAGUGGCUUACCAAGGCUUUGACUGGUAGGCGGCCCGAGAGGGCGACCGGCCACAUUGGGACUGAGAAUCGGCCCAGAACCCUACCGGGAGGAGGAGUGGGGAAAAUUGGCCAAAGGGGGGAAGCCUGAUGCAACCAACCCGCGUGCGGGAUGACGGCCUUCCGGUUGUAAACCGCUUUCAGCAGGGGAGAAGCUUGUGGUGACGGUACCUGCAGAAGAAGCACCGGCUAACUACGUG
rnacentral:rRNA from 1 species